UGCCAGCAGCCGCGGUAAUACGGAGGGGGUUAGCGUUGUUCGGAAUUACUGGGCGUAAAGCGCGCGUAGGCGGACUAUUAAGUCAGAGGUGAAAUCCCCGAGCUCAACUUGGGAACUGCCUUUGAUACUGGUUGGCUAGAGUUCGGGAGAGGGUAGUGGAAUUCCCAGUGUAGAGGUGAAAUUCGUAGAUAUUGGGAAGAACACCAGUGGCGAAGGCGGCUACCUGGACCGAUACCGACGCUGAGGCGCGAAAGCGUGGGGAGCAAACAGGAUUAGAUA
rnacentral:rRNA from 1 species